GUCUCUUUGAUUUUUAAUAAUAAAGAGUUUGGCCUGCUCAGUGAGAUUUUUAACAGCUGCGGUAUAAUAACUGUACUAAGGUAGCAUAAUAAUUUGCCUUAUAAAUUAAGGCUAGAAUGAAUGGUUUGACGAAAAUUAUACUGUCUCUAUUUUAAUUAGUAGAAAUUAAUUUUUAUAGUGAAAAAGCUUAAAUUAUUUAAAGGGACGAGAAGACCCUAUUGAGCUUUAUAUUAGUUAUAAUAAAUGUUAUUUAUUAUGUUUAUUAUGUUUAUUUUUGAUUGGGGUGAUCAAGGAAUAAAAUAGAUAUUAUUUAACUUCCUUAAUAAAAUAAUUUUUUAGAGUAAUUAACCAAUUAUAUUGCUUAUAUGAUAAGUUACCAUAGGGAUAACAGCGUAAUUUUUUUGGAGAGUUCAUAUUAAAAAAAGAGAUUGCGACCUCGAUGUUGGAUUAAAAUAACCAUAUGGUGAAGAGGCUUUAUAUGGUGAAUCUGUUCGAUUUUUAAAAUUUU
rnacentral:rRNA from 1 species